rnacentral:rRNA from 1 species
UACGUAGGGGGCUAGCGUUGUCCGGAUUUAUUGGGCGUAAAGAGCGUGUAGGCGGCCAGGUAGGUCUGCUGUGAAAACUCGAGGCUCAACCUCGAGAUGUCGGCGGAAACCAUCUGGCUAGAGUCCGGAAGAGGAGAGUGGAAUUCCUGGUGUAGCAGUGAAAUGCGCAGAUAUCAGGAAGAACACCCGUGGCGAAGGCGGCUCUCUGGGACGGUACUGACGCUGAGACGCGAAAGCGUGGGGAGCGAACAGG